CAGUAGCCGCGGUAAUACGAAGGGGGCUAGCGUUGUUCGGAAUUACUGGGCGUAACGCGCACGUAGGCGGACAUUUAAGUCAGGGGUGAAAUCCCGGGGCUCAACCUCGGAACUGCCUUUGAUACUGGGUGUCUCGAGUCCGGAAGAGGUAAGUGGAACUGCGAGUGUAGAGGUGAAAUUCGUAGAUAUUCGCAAGAACACCAGUGGCGAAGGCGGCUUACUGGUCCGGUACUGACGCUGAGGUGCGAAAGCAUGGGGAGCAAACAGGAUUAGAUACCCGUGUAGUCCCUGUCUCUUAUAC
rnacentral:rRNA from 1 species